ACAACCUGACAACUUGUCUGCCUUCCUCCAAUCCGUGUCCCUCAACCCUUCCUCUAUUCUGAGUGGGAGUGGACUAUCCAGCUCCCCCUAAAUCUUUCAGUAGAUCCCAGUACCCAUAUAAUCCAAGGUUUUACAAGGCAAAUAUGACUCUGAUCCCCCUCGGCUGUCCUCUCCAGCUGCUACUCUCCCCAUCCCUGCUGAGUACUUGUGUUUUGGUAGCAAAUAGUCCUCAGGUGCUCUUCCUUACCCCUGACCUUUGCCCAACUGGCCCCUCUGCAAAAGAUGACCUUCUGGCCCUUCGCCUAGCUCUUGUUUUCCUCAUCCUGAAAGUCUCAAUUCAAGGUCUGAAUGUUUAGGAAGACCUCCCUACUCCAGCCCUCCCCACUCCAUCUCACCUAUCCUAAGCAGGCAGGGGUUGGGGGAGUGGCCUUCUGCUUCUCCCUGAGCCUGUCUGCCUCAGUGGGCUUGCUCCCCUGUUGUAUUUAUCUUGUAUGUGUGUUUCCUCCGAAUUAGGCUAAGAACUUAAGGGCUGGGAUUGUGAUUCGACGGCCCUUAUAUGCUCACCAUCCAGCACAGUUCCUGGCAUGUAACAGGUGCUCAACAAAUGUUUAUUGAAAGAGUAGCCCCCAGGUCAGUAAUCCAAGUACCUUAGAAGCCUGCAUGUGAGGCCUUGACCCAUUCUUCCCAGAGGAGCCACCAUCCUCGACUUAAUGACAAUCUUCUCCCCAAUAUCCCCCCUUUUUUUACAGUUUCCUACCUCUGUGUAUAUCCCUAAACAAUAUUGUUUGGAUUGCCUGUUUUUCUCUGUUUUCUGUUCUUUUUUUUUUUUUUUUUUUUUACUUUCUGCAGUUAGAUUCAUUCUAAAUAUACUCUGUAUCUUGC